rnacentral:snoRNA from 1 species
CCCAGGAGUAGUCAGCUGUACAGGCCAGCCCCAUGCCUGAGUUAGUGUUACACUGCUGGGAGAGAAGGGCUCUGCUAAUGUGGCUUGGUGCAGCAGACACUGUUUUAGUGGUUGUUGGUGCUGUGCCCUUCUGAGAGUGGGCUGUACCCUCACACUGGGGCGACCCUAGUAGAAGGGCUAACAAA